rnacentral:rRNA from 1 species
AUUGAACGCUGGCGGCAUGCCUUACACAUGCAAGUCGAACGAGGGUAGCAAUACCUUAGUGGCGAACGGGUGAGUAAUAUAUCGGAACGUACCCCGGAGUGGGGGAUAACGUAGCGAAAGUUACGCUAAUACCGCAUACGAUCUAAGGAUGAAAGUGGGGGAUCGCAAGACCUCAUGCUCCUGGAGCGGCCGAUAUCUGAUUAGCUAGUUGGUGGGGUAAAGGCCUACCAAGGCAUCGAUCAGUAGCUGUCUGAGAGGACGACCAGCCACACUGGAACUGAGACACGGUCCAGACUCCUACGGGAGGCAGCAGUGGGGAAUUUUGGACAAUGGGCGCAAGCCUGAUCCAGCAAUGCCGCGUGAGUGAAGAAGGCCUUCGGGUUGUAAAGCUCUUUUGUCAGGGAAGAAACGGUGAGGGCUAAUAUCCCUUGCUAAUGACGGUACCUGAAGAAUAAGCACCGGCUAACUACGUGCCAGCCGCCGCGGUAA